rnacentral:tRNA from 1 species
GCGUGGGUAGCCAAGCACGGUCAACGGCGGCAGACUCAAGAUCUGUUCCUGAAGGGGUUCCCAGGUUCGAAUCCUGGCCCACGCA